GCAACAAUUCUUUUUUUCAGAUCCUCAGAGAGUUCUUUGCCAUGAGGUGCCAUGUUGAACUUCCAGUGACCAGUAUGAGGGAGUGUGAGAGCGAUGACACCAAAUUUAACACACCUGCUCCCCAUUCACACCUGAGACCUUGUAACACUAAGAAGUCACAUGACACCGGGGAGGGAAAAUGGCUAAUUGGGCCCAAUUUGGACAUUUUCACUUAGGGGUGUAAUCACUUUUGUUGGCAGCGGUUUAGUCACUAAUGGCUGUGUGUUGAGUUAUUUUGAGGGGACAGCAAAUUUACACUGUUACACAAGCUGUACACUCACUACUUUACAUUGUAGCAAAGUGUCAUUUCUUCAGUGUUGUCACAUGAAAAGAUAUAAUCAAAUAUUUACACAAAUGUGAGGGGUGUUCUCACUUUUUUGUGAAAUACUGUACAUCUUUUUAUUUACUUUAAUAUUUAUUCAUAGUGUGUGUGUGCGUGUUAUAUAUAUAUAUAAUAUAAAAUUAGUGUAUAUAUGCUUAUUUCAUUAGAAAAAGUGCAGUACAUUUUCAUGGUACUGUCAGUACUGUUUAUUUUUGUAAUAAAGUGAACUUAAUUUUUCCACUGAGUGUUAUAUUUUCAUUCAGUAGUAAUCGGUUAUUAGUAGGUGCUACCCGACUUGGUUAUCGGCAUCUGUAAGAUCCACUAUCGGUCAGCCUUUAAAAUACAUUAAUGUGUAUGACAUGUUCUUCUUUAAUUAAUAAAGAAAUGCACUUGUUGACAACUUGCUGUGGUAUAAGGGGAAUAAAACACUUCAGAAUGUGCAGUUCUACCUUAGGGUGGUAACGGUCACUCCACUUCAUUGGAUCGUUGACUACUUUCCUAUAACCGCAUGUUUAUUCAAUUCAAUUCAAUUCAAUUCAAUUUUAUUUGUAUAGCGCUUUUUACAAUAGACAUUGUCUCAAAGCAGCUUUACAGAAAUAUCAACAUGGUACUUCGAUCCACUUCACUGGAUCGUUGACUUUUUCCUAUAACCGCAUGUUUAUUCCUUACAUAAAUUAAACACAAAGCAUGUAGGGGUUCUACAUGCAUGUAGUAUUUGUACAAUCAAUAACCUAUUAGAGUAAUACAUUGUGGUAUAUAAACUGAACUUUGUGUAUGAUGUGUCUGCAGUGUCCAAAGCCCGUGGUGGUGGCAGUGCAUGGCGUGUGUGUGGAAGCAGGAGUGGAUCUAAUCACAGCCUGUGAUAUUCGUCUGUGCACACAGGAUGCCUGGUUUCAGGUGAAGUCGUGUGUUCCCUGAUAGUCAAUGAUUGCUGGAGCUCUGGAAAUAGCAGGUGAGAUUGCAGGCCGAGUCCCGUCGCUGUCCAGGGAACCAAAAUCAACCUCCUCUACUCCUGAGACCACAGUGUGACUGAGAGCCUAGACUACAUGGCUACUUGGAACAUGAACAUGUUGCAGACACAGUAUCUUAUGAAGUCAGCGCAGGCAGCCCUGGAAAAGAAGAGUCCGAAAGACGUGCCCUUCUCCAAGCUUUAAAGGAGAAGAUCCAGGGCUGUUGAAGCUGCGGUGGAACUGAGACAUCAUCAUCCACAUAUCUUCAGUUCUUCUUGCUAAGUCUGUUUCUUUUUAGUCUUUUUAUUUUUAGACUGGUCAAAAGACUGAUUAGUGGACGUGAAAUGAUGGAUGAACUUUUAAUUACUUGCUUUAUUAUUUGCAGGUGCCUUGUACAGUAAGACAGGGUAACUAAUACUCAAAAGCUUGUUUUGUGUGUUAACAUGUACAGUAGAUGGACAUAUUUUUUCUGGUGCUGUGACUGCAGAAUGUAGUGCAGUUAACACAGUAAAUUUCCUUGGAUGCUCACUUUUAACUCCAGGAGGUCACAGUUUGCCCAGACAUCUUUUUUUAAAUCCGUCACCCACACGUCAUUCUGGGGGACGAAGAGGAGGAAGCUGGACAGAUAAAUUUAUUUAUUUAUUUAUCAUUGCUGUGUUUCCUCAAUCGAGUGCAGAAAGAAGAAAAACAACACAACUGAUUUAAAAUAAAAAUAUAGAAAACAAUCUAAUGUAAGGUUGUGAUCCGGUUUGCUUUCAGCAGGAAGGCUGUCCUCUUUCCUGUUGCUCUUUCUCUUCUAUUAGUCCAUUUGUCCAGUCUGAAUCGGUUUGAUUCGUUUCGAGACGAUUUUGAGUCAAAUAAUUUUCUAGUGAGAGUCGCACACUUCCAAACGAACUAGACUGAGAUGAGUAUUUGAUUCUCACAAGAAAGUUAUUCGACUCUGAAUCAACUCGAAAUGAAUCAGUCAAACUGAUUCAGACUCUAUAAAAGGACUAUGAGAUGUGAUUAAGAUAUAUAUUCCAAUGUUUUGCUUUACAAUUCCACUGUGUGUGUGUGUGUGUGUGUGUGUGUGUGUGUGUGUGUGUGUGUGUGUGUGUGUGUGUGUGUGUGCGCACGUGUGUUUUUCAGGGGAAUGAGAAACUCUGACACAACAGUACAUCCUGACCAUUGGUACUGUGUACACAUCAACAUACACACACGUCUCCAUGCUGGACAUCUCAGGAGCUUUCACACACAGUGCUAGGAAUAUCACGGGACAGAGAAACGCACCUCCAAAGUGAGCGAGUUUAGUGUCAACCGGUGAAAUUUGCUGUAGCGUGAACGCUUCGCCUCUGUAAGCUUCACUCUCCGUCAGGUUCACUGUAAUUAGACAUAAAAUGUACAUAAUGUUUAUUUUUCAUACAUUUAGGAUUUAAGGUUUUUUUUUUUUUUUUUCUUUUUUUUUUUAC